AUGGGAACGCGAAGAACCUUACCUAGACUUGACAUCUCCUGAAUAGUGUAGAGAUACAUGAAGCCCUUCGGGGCAGGAAGACAGGUGGUGCAUGGUUGUCGUCAGCUCGUGUCGUGAGAUGUUGGGUUAAGUCCCGCAACGAGCGCAACCCUUAUUACUAGUUGCUAACAUUAAGUUGAGCACUCUAGUGAGACUGCCCGGGUUAACCGGGAGGAAGGCGGGGAUGACGUCAAAUCAUCAUGCCCCUUAUGUCUAGGGCUACACACGUGCUACAAUGGUGGGAACAAAGAGAUGCAAUACCGCAAGGUGGAGCUAAACUCAAAACCCCAUCCCAGUUCGGAUUGUAGGCUGAAACUCGCCUACAUGAAGCUGGAGUUGCUAGUAAUCGCGAAUCAGAAUGUCGCGGUGAAUACGUUCCCGGGUCUUGUACACACCG
rnacentral:rRNA from 1 species